GUUUCGUAAUGAUUUUGGCCACUUGAAGAGCAUGUUGCUGCGUGAAGCUUCUUCAUCAUAUUUCCCUCAUUCUAAAUUGCUAACUUAUGUUAUUAUUUUCCCUUAAAAAAAAAACUUAUGUUAUUAUUUUGUAAACUGUCAAUUUAUCUUGCAAUUGUUAAUUUGAGCACAAUUUUGGCAUCAUCUUGAGAAGUCCGGAAGCAGCUCUACUACAUGUUUACAAAAAGAAAACUACCAGCACAUCUUACUACAUAUGUAUGAAGGUAAAGCCAAAAGGAAAGCCAUGGCCAAUUGCAUCACCAAUUAGAAUCAAAUGCUUGAAGCUAUCAAUAUGAAACUGAGUUAUUUUUUAGAGGAUAACAUCAAAGCAAUAAUGGUGAAGCGGAAGUAGUCAACAUAGUCACCGAGAUGAUCAGUUUUGUAUUUUAGUUGGUGUUGUUUUAUAUGCUUAAAUUAGCUUGCAGACAAUGAUCGUGAAGUAUCGAAUGAUAUUUUUGUAAAGUCUAAAUAAAACACUUAUCAGAUCACUAUUGGUCUCUUACGGCUUAAUCAAAGAUUUUGGGUUAGUUUUCAGUUUUGAGAAGAACAUAAUAAAA
rnacentral:lncRNA from 1 species